rnacentral:rRNA from 1 species
UACGUAGGGUGCAAGCGUUGUCCGGAAUUAUUGGGCGUAAAGAGCUCGUAGGCGGUCUGUUGCGUCGGCUGUGAAAACCCGGGGCUCAACUCCGGGCCUGCAGCCGAUACGGGCAGACUAGAGUUCGGCAGGGGAGACUGGAAUUCCUGGUGUAGAGGUGAAAUGCGCAGAUAUCAGGAAGAACACCCGUGGCUAAGGCGGUUCUCUAGUACGGUACUGACGCUGAGACGCGAAAGCGUGGGGAGCGAACAGG